rnacentral:rRNA from 1 species
UACGGGGGGGGCAAGCGUUGUUCGGAAUUACUGGGCGUAAAGGGCUCGUAGGUGGCCAACUAAGUCGGACGUGAAAUCCCUCAGCUUAACUGGGGAACUGCGUCCGAUACUGGAUGGCUUGAGUUUGGGAGAGGGACGCGGAAUUCCAGGUGUAGCGGUGAAAUGCGUAGAUAUCUGGAGGAACACCGGUGGCGAAGGCGGCGUCCUGGACCAACACUGACACUGAGGAGCGAAAGCCAGGGGAGCGAACGGG